GACGAACGCUGGCGGCGUGCUUAACACAUGCAAGUCGAACGAUGAACCCGGAGCUUGCUCCGGCGGAUUAGUGGCGAACGGGUGAGUAACACGUGAGUAACCUGCCCUUGACUCUGGGAUAACUGCUAGAAAUGGUAGCUAAUACCGGAUACGACCCUCGGUGGCAUCACCAGGGGGUGGAAAGAAUUUCGGUCAAGGAUGGACUCGCGGCCUAUCAGCUAGUUGGUGAGGUAACGGCUCACCAAGGCGACGACGGGUAGCCGGCCUGAGAGGGUGACCGGCCACACUGGGACUGAGACACGGCCCAGACUCCUACGGGAGGCAGCAGUGGGGAAUAUUGCACAAUGGGCGCAAGCCUGAUGCAGCAACGCCGCGUGAGGGAUGACGGCCUUCGGGUUGUAAACCUCUUUCAGCACAGACGAGGCGCCCUGUCGGAUGGUGACGGUAUGUGCAGAAGAAGGACCGGCCAACUACGUGCCAGCAGCCGCCGUAA
rnacentral:rRNA from 1 species